ACUUUAGUCUUUCUAUCUUUUUUCAGAAGAGACGUCGUCGACUAGCUCUGAUCGAUCAGAUGUCGGUUUCUCUCAACCAGACCCCAGCGAUAUUGGAAGUUGUUCUCCACGGGCGGGUCUCAGCGACGAAGCCAGUCAAAACCAAAGGACUAUCUCCGAAGAAGGCGGGUCUGGUAGGCUCAGCCAUUGGCCCUCCUCUUCAGCGAUCGGUAGUGGACGAAAACGAAAACAAGCGAAUACAGGAACAAACGACACCUGCAGGAAAAAGCAAGCCCGUCGUGAGGGAUUCUCCCAUCCAAACAGUUCUCCACAGCCAGGACCCAGCGGUUAUAACCCGGGACGGCCGACAACAACACCCUCACCAACACCCGGUGAAAUAAGCCAACAUUUCAACGGGGCCUUAACAACGAUCGACGUGCCCGUCCCACCAGCAGACAACGGCGACAUUGCAUCAUAUUUCAACAACAACACUGGCCGUCUUCGCGAGGCAGUAGAGUCUGUAUUCCAAGGCUGCCAGCAGGUUAAACCUCCUUCUUUUAAAGUGUACGUUGACAUGCAUCUGCGUUUAGUCAGAGAAGACCCCGACGGUGGAGUUCAAUAUAGAGAUAUGUAUAUGAGAAGUCAUAUGCAGGUAAUUAGCUAUGACGAUAUAGAUUCAUAUGUACGUGAACUAUCCGAAUAUUUUGUUAAUCGGUUUGAACAUGACAUGUCAGACGAAGAGGGCAGUGGAUUUACGUUAGAUGAAAUAGUUAGCGUAAAAUUUUCCUUCUCUCUUAUAAUGCUGCACAAUAGUAUUGGAGAGUAUGUGCCCUAUCCUAAGGGUGUUCCAGGGAAAACACAAGUUCUCAACCCUUCGGGACCCACGGACUGUGUUUUCCAAGUUCUAACAGCUUAUCGCUAUCUAAAGUCAAGAAAUGUAGUUCCAUCGGGCAGGCAAUGGGAGAAUGCUUGCUUGGCCUCUAUUAAUACGGGUAACAUUCCAACCCCGGUAUCCUGGGAAGACCUCGGUCGG